rnacentral:piRNA from 1 species
UGCAUCGUGUUGUUGAAGUGCUUUUCCA